GACGAACGCUGGCGGCGUGCUUAACACAUGCAAGUCGAACGGAAAGGCCCUGCUUUUGUGGGGUGCUCGAGUGGCGAACGGGUGAGUAACACGUGAGUAACCUGCCCUUGACUUUGGGAUAACUUCAGGAAACUGGGGCUAAUACCGGAUAGGAGCUACUGCUGCAUGGUGGGGGUUGGAAAGUUUCGGCGGUUGGGGCUGGACUCGCGGCUUAUUAGCUUGUUGGUGGGGUAGUGGCUUACCAAGGCUUCGAUGGGUAGCCGGCCUGAGCGGGUGACCGGCCACACGGGAACUGAGACACGGUCCAGACGCCUACGGGAGGAAGCAGUAGGGAAUCUUCCCAAAUGGGCGAAAGCCUGACGGAGCAACGCCGCGUGAGUGAUGAAGGUCUUCGGAUCGUAAAACUCUGUUAUUAGGGAAGAACAAAUGUGUAAGUAACUAUGCACGUCUUGACGGUACCUAAUCAGAAAGCCACGGCUAACUACGUG
rnacentral:rRNA from 1 species